CUCUAUCUCCGGUACCGGAGGCGGCAUCGGUGAAUUUAUUACGGCUCUGGCUACACCGGAGAUCCUCCGAGCAAAUAACCGAUUUCAGGGACGAUAGAGACAUUCAAAUCAGUCUGACGAGAGGCAUCCCCAAAACGUUCGGCUAAUUUACACGUACAAUAUACGUUCUCUUAAAAUUGGUAGUGUGAGUGUCAUCGAAAUCAUUUUAUGUGUGAGUACUAGAGCACUAUCAAAAUUAAAUAAACGUGUAAGUAAGAAUUUCUAUUUUGUCAACGCGCAAAUAUGAAUAUAUAUGAUUGAUUUAUAUGGAUGUAUUUUAUAUUUGACUAUUCUGUCCGUCCGAUGCAUUGGUUAAUGUAAUUUUAAGGUUAAUCAUAA